AAAAUAUGAACAUGCUCCUUCUACAGCUACAGACCUCCCAUAGCUCCUCACUAUGUAGAAUAAAAUGCAAACUCUUUAGUAUCCUGUUGAAAGCCCUCUGCAGUGUAACCCCAAUGCCCUGCCAACAUCUGUUCUCAGUCACUCUUACCUAGUACCCUACAUUCCAGCCCCACAGAACCCACUCCUCUCCUUCCAUGUCAGGUCCCUUUUUGACUCUGUGACAUUGAAUUUUGUGUUCCCACCUCCUGGAAUGAUCUUCCUUAUAUUCUCUGCCUGGAGAAAACUAACCUCUGGUAUUUUUUUACUUUAUCAACCAUUCCCUGCUAUAUUCCUGUAUUCUCAUAGGACUUACCAUCUCUGUUUUGCAAUUAUUUGUAUGUCAGGCUCUUUAUUGAUACUGUGAGCUUCUGCAGGGCAGGACUGUGUGCUAUGAACUUGCCUCUGUAUCUUCAGUACCUACCUCCAGACAUUCCCACAGUGGGUACCUACUAGACGCAUAAAUGAAUAAAUUUCUUGGUCUACUAGCUGGGACCCUGGGUCUCUACUUUCCUGCCCCAGAGCUUAUAACUCAGCUGUAAGAGCUUCCCUAAGUUAAUGUCAAUUGCCUCUGAUAUCUAGGAGUUUGUUAGUGGACCUCUGCUGCAGACAAUUCUUACUACAGAAACUUGGAAGGGAUUCUUGGGAAUUCAGGUACAAACCCAGCCAGCAACAUCUCUGUUUUCAUCUAUUUCUUGUUCCAAUUUUGGUACUGAACGAGUGAGCCUGAGAAGAAGAGGAUAACCCAGUGGGUGUUACCUGUGGGUCUGGAUGUCGGCUAACAAUGAUGGGGACUGGACCGGGAUCACAGUGACUCAGGAUCGUGUAGACUUCAUUGAGCGUCAGGCAGUGCACAGGGGAAUCACUGAUUUCCACAAUCUCGUCCCCACACCUGUGCAAGCAUCAAUAAGAAGCCAUCAGUAAGUGAAUCAAUGAGACAUUUGAACAGUCACUGCCCCAGGGGCCCACUCCUGGCUGGGCUGUUUGAUGAGAUAUAAAAAUCACAUGAAUAAGUAGACCCCACUAGCCACCAGACCAAAACUCAGAACAGGGCAGACCAAAGUAGCAUAUCCCAUACCCCCUUACCGUACAACCACAAAGCAGCAGACAUUUCCUAUUUACAGUGGGUCAACAUUAACAAAAGUUCAUCUGUAACUUUCCUCCUUCUUUUCACAUUUAACUAUGCCCAUUAAAGACUGAGGGUGUGGGUUAGCCAAUUCAACUAAAUAACAAUUAACCAGGAUUUAAUCCACCACAUCCUCUCCUUGGGCCUCUGUGUUCCCAUAAGUAGACUAGUUAGAAGGAAGGAUUGGAUCUAACAUAGCACACACAGGAUGUUGAAUAUCGGACCUAACAUCCUACAUGUGCUAAAAGGCAGAGAAAAAAUAACUCAACAGGAGAGCAGUUGAGAUUCUUGCAAAAAGAAAUAAGGAGAAAAGGUGAUGGCAUUCAUUCUAGUUGUGAGGUGGGAAGGGAGUUAAUAGCAACCUAAACCUUAAAAAAAAAAAAGGUAGGAAACACGGGGUCACAUAGAUACAUGGAAGAUU
rnacentral:lncRNA from 1 species